ensembl:lncRNA
AUGGAAACACUGUGGUUUGUAUGAACUCCUAAACUGAAGCUAUCCUCCCACGUCAGCCUUCCUAAGUGCAGGGAUUAGAGGCGUGAGCCACCACACCCGCCUGAAACGUAGCAUCUUAACCGUGUUGAAAUGUGCAGUUCAGUGGCAUUAAGUACAUUUGCUUUGUUGUGCAACCGUCACCACUACCCAUCCACAGAACUUUUUCACAUUCUCCAACUGAAACUCCGCACCCAUUGAACACUCACUUCCGGUUCCUCUCCCCUCAGGCCCUGGAAACCACCAUUUUACUUUCUGUCGCUACAAGUUUGACUACUCUGGGGACCUCAUUUUAGAGAAUGGCACUGGCUUCGCAGAGGAAGGUGCAUUGGAAACAGCUAAUACAGAAGACAGGGAAAACAGGAGGAAAGCAGGCCACAGUGUCUUUUGGCCUGAAUUCCAGUCUCUGGUAACAGGACGACAGCCCUAGCUUUCUUACUGCUUGGCACAUCUUUAUCCAGCUCUUCACUUUCAUCUUUUUCAAUCGCUGUGUUUUAUUCCAUACGACAUCAAACUAGGGUUUGCUUUUUAACCCAACAGGACAUUUUUUAAUA